rnacentral:lncRNA from 1 species
AAGAAAAUUCUCAGCAGCCGAGAUCAAUUAUGAGAUCCACGAUAAAGAACUUCUUGCGAUCGUGGAUUCCUUUCAAGAAUGGCGUCAUUAUCUAGAAGGCGCUUCUAGUCCAGUCACUGUGUAUACAGAUCACAAGAACCUCGAGUAUUUCAUGUCAGCACGCGUGUUGAAUCGUCGUCAAGCUCGUUGGAGUAUGUCUUUGUCAAGAUUCGAGUUCAUUAUCACUUAUCGGCCAGGAAAACAACAAGGUUUAUCCGAUGCCCUAUCUAGACGUUCUUAUUUUGCACCAAAAGAAGGAGAUGCAGCUUUUGAGCAACAAAGAACGGUCCUCUUGAAACCGGAGCAAUUUCAUCUCCGAGCAAUGAAAUCAACAUUGACUGUUGAUUCAACUUUUCUCAAGCAAAUCCAGUCCAGUAUGUCCUCAGAUCCUCUUGUUUAUGAUAUCGAGAAUAAUUCUUCCAAGUCUCAUGAUCCUUCUAAGUUUGAGUUCAAGAAUAAUCUAUUAUAUUUUGAAGGACGCCUAUAUGUUCCAGAAGGAGAAGCACGUUUACGUGUUCUUCAAGCACGUCAUGACUUUCCAGCAGCAGGGUACUUUGAAUAUAAUAAGACUUUGGAACUCAUAUCAAGAGAUUUUUGGUGGCCACAAAUGUAGAAGUCAGUCAAAGACUUUGUACAAUCAUGUGAUAUUUGUUCAAGAUCAAAAAUUCCUCGUCAUCGACCUUACGGACUUCUUCAGCCAUUACCUAUACCAGAACAACCAUGGUCUUCUGUUUCUAUGGAUUUCAUCACAGAUCUUCCAAGCUCAAGAUCUUAUGAUUCUAUAUUUGUAAUAGUAGAUCGUUUCACCAAGAUGGCACAUUUUGUGCCAUGUACAAAAUCUAUCACAGGUGAAGAAACAGCUAAGCUUUUCAUUGAUAAUAUCUAUCGCUAUCAUGGAUUACCUAAAGAUAUCAUAUCGGAUAGGGGAACUCAAUUUGUGUCAAGAUUUUGGAGGACCCUUUUCAAGAUUUUAAAAGUGGACAUAAAGCUAUCUUCGGCUUUCCAUCCUCAAACUGAUGGACAAACAGAGCGCGUAAACCAAGUCUUGGAGCAAUAUUUAAGGUGUACUAUCAACUACCAACAAGAUGAUUGGACAACCCUUCUGCCAUUGGCAGAGUUUGCUUAUAAUAAUACGGUACAUUCUUCCACGCAACAAACACCUUUCUUUGCCAAUUAUGGCUAUCAUCCACGACUUGAUACUUUUGAUUUUUCAAAAGUUGAUAAUCCUGCAGCAGAAGAUAUGGCAAAUCGGUUGUCAGAGUUACAUGCAAUAAUGAAGACACAAUUAAAGGAAGCUCAAGAACGACAAAAGAUAAACGCAGAUCUAUAUCGUAAGGAGCAACCACAGAUCAACGUGGGUGAUAAGGUAUGGCUACUUCGUUGCGAUAUCAAGACUACUCGAUCUUGUGACUAGUUGGACUAUCGUAGGCUUGGCCCCUUUUCUGUUUCUGAACAGAUCAACCCAGUUGCAUAUCGGUUACAUCUACCAGAGUCAAUGAAGAUCCAUCCUGUAUUCCACGUAUCUCUUCUUGAACCAUAUAAGACAGUGGAUAUACAAGGAAGAAGACAAAUGCCACCGCCUCCUAUAGAAGUAGAUAAUAAUGAAGAAUUUGAGGUGGAAGAGAUAUUAGACUCAAGGCGGCGCCAAAAUAAGCUGAAAUAUCUUGUUCAUUGGCGCGGAUAUGGUAUUAGUGAACGCACAUGGGAGCCAUCCAGGAAUCUAGCAAAUGCAUCAACUAAAGUCAAAGUUUUUCAUCAACAACAUCCAUCAAAACCAAGAUGAAAAUCUCUCUUAUAAAAGAGACAAGAUUGAGGCAAGAUAACAUUCAAUUUCCUAUCCUUGUUUGUAACUUCUUUGCAUUUGUGACGCUAAUUAGAUGGAGAGCCAACAACCAGCGGAUUCAACUCAAGAACCUUCGUUUGCUGACCUGUCGGAUGAGACAUUACGAUUGUCACAACCUUCAAGACGACGCAAUCGAGAUGAAGAUCUUCAAGAACGACAUGUUCUUCCUCGAACAGAUGGUGAGAUACAACGCGUUUGGUAUCACGAUUUGGGAAGGGACUCUCGAUGUUUGGUGAUUUUGCUAGAGGUAGGAAAAACUCCUGAUGGUGUUCCGAAUAUUCUAUUCGAAGGAAGUUAUGAAGGCCUCAAUAAUGAUCAAAUAACUGGGUGGUCUUCCCGCCCUGGUAUGGGACACUACCGAUGGUUGAGAGGCCCUAUCAAUCAUCUUCGAAGAGAACAGAGCUCAGAGUAUGUGGCGAAUAUAAUUCGUCGCAUCAUAGAUUUCCUCAACAUAUGAUGACCGCUCCUCGUGGAACUCGUCUCUAGAAGGGGGGGUAAUGUCACGGCCAUAAUCAUGUAAGCUAAUAAUUACAUAUAAAAAUAGGUAGAAGUAAGUAAAAGUAGAUAAAAGUAAGUUAAUUGUAUAAUAUUUAAUAUAGAAGCUUCCUAGAAACUUCUUAGAUGCUGCUUUGACUUCAUAGGUGUCUUUAAUUGACUUUUUGGAUUAGAAACGUGGUCAACAAGUUGGCCAUGUGCCACACAUGUUGUUAGCUUGAAGAUCAAGCUAACUAUGUGGCCCACACGUAGAAAAACUUGCCUUGUAAGUCAAGGCAUGUGUCCUACAAAGUCAACACAUAUUGGAGGUCCUAUAGAACGUCGCCACGUAGCCCCUAGUUAGAUAGUAUAUAUAGAGACAAGAGUGAAGGCUUCUUCACUCUUGUCAACUCCUUUCUUGCUUCUAGUUCAGGUUCAAGAGUCUUUAGUUUCUUGUCUUGUGGCAAUAGCCAUUCCAGUUUCCUUUUAAUAUACCUACUUGUUUAUAUUUUGACUUAUUAUAUCGAGAUAGCCGUUUGGUGUAUAUUUUUCCUCAUCGAGUCUUUGUUCUUGACACUAGCAAAGACAAUAUGUUUUAGAAGUUCUAUAUAAUAUCACCGCGUAGCUUUAAUUAGAGAGUAUAUAUGGAGGCAAGAGUAAAGCCUUCUUCACUCUUGUCAAUGUCUUUUUAGUUCUUUGUCUUGUUUCAAGACUUUCUAAUCUUUUUGUCUUUAGCAAUAGCCAUUCUAGUUUAAUACAUUACCAUCUUUGAGUAAUUUUUUAGUCUUUUCAAGUGACACAAGAGUGUAUUGAGAUUUGUUUUUUGAGAUUCAUGUCCUUGAUAUCAUAUCAAAUUGAAUGAAUGAUAUACAAUCUUUUAAUUGAAUUUUCAAUGAUGUAAAGCCCAAGUAUAUAUCCAUUUUAAAUACAUUUAAAGAUUCAAGAUGAUUUAAUCUAUAUCUUGAUUUUAGGUAGUUUGGUGGUUUAAAAGAAUAUAAAUAUAUGCUUUUAGAAAAAUCAAAAUAAUAAUUAUGAUAUUUUGAUUCUUAUGAAAAAUAUAAAAUAAAUUAUUAUAUUCAUUAAUAUUAAUUUUUUUCAAAGGUACUGAAUCUAAAUAUGCCAUUGGUAUUUUUUCCAAAUUUAAAUAUGAUUCUAAAUUAAGCUCUUUUAUUGAACUUAUAAAAAAUAUAAUUUUUGGUAAUUUUUUAAAUUUUAGAACAUCUUCUUAAUUCAAGUUUUAAUAAGCUUUUAGCAUUAAAAAAUGACCAUAAAAGUUUUUUGAAGAUUUUCUUUUCUUUUCUUUUCUUUUUAAUUGUAAGAUUCUCAAACUCUUAAUCCUUGUCUACAAAUAGUUUUUAUUUAGUAUGAGAAAUGCUUGAAUUAAAAAAAAUAUAUUUAUAUUUACUAAAAAAAAUAUUUUAAAUAUUUUAAAAUUAGUAUAAUAUUAUAAUAAAAUUUAAUGUAAUAUAUUAUUAAUAUAAAAAAGUAUGUAGUAUUUUGAUAUAUAUUUUUAUUUUAUUUUGCAUUAAUACAAAAACUCAAAAACCAAAGAGAUGAAAAACAAGAACAUCUAAUUUUAUUAACUAUAUUAUUGCUUUAAAUGCUAUAAAAUAAUCUUUCAAACUUUCAAAUAACAAGAUAUAAAAAAAAUUAAAGAUUUGAAUAUUGAGAUUUUUUCCCAUCAAAACUACAAUUAAAAUUUAUUUAUUUCACUAUUUUAUUAUGAAUUUAAAAACUUUAUAUAACCUAAAUAUUAUCAAAUUUUAUAUUUUUUAUAUUUGAAUAUACCUUCUUAGGUUUAUUAUUUAUAUACAUAUUAUUUGGAUAAGUUAAAUAGCAUAUCUUUGUUAAAAAUUUAUUAAUUAAUUUAAUAUUUAUAUCUCAAAUUUGUGUAGCUUUUUAUUUUACUUUAGUUUCAAAAAUCUUUUAAUCCAUAUCUCUUAAUUGAUCAUAAAAUCUUAUAUUUCAUGAAUUUUUAUUUUCAUUAAUGAUUUAUAAAUUAAUAUUUCUAAUAUUUAUUUUAUAUUUAAUUUUAAAUAAUAUUUUUAUUUUAUUCUAAAACUAAAAUUUUCUUUCUAUUAACAUGCUAUUAAAAAAUAUACUACAAAAAAUAACUUAUGUCUAAAAAUAUAUUUAUUUCUAUAAUACUCAAAAUAUCAAAGCUUACUCUUAAAUUAUUCUAAAUCUUAUAGUCACUAUUUUCUUCAUUUAAUUUUAAUUUUAAUUUUAAUUUUUGUUUUGUUUUGUUUUGUUUUGUUUUUGUUUUUUUUUCCCCUAAUCUUUGUAAAUCUUGCUUCCAACAUCUUAAUUUCUUUUCUUCUUUUAAAAAUACAUCCAUGCUUUUAAACUUAAAGAGAAGUCAUUAUAAGCUUUCACAAUUCUUUUUCCAACUUCCAUAAGCUUAGAAGUCAAUUUAUCUUAGUAUUGAAAAGAAUAAGUGACAAACAAUCAUAAACUUAAACCUUUGUCAACUUCUUCAAUGUCCAUCUUAUCAAACUUAAUAGAAAAAUGGUCUAUUGAUUUCCAAUCUCAUGUUGCUACAAUUAAUAUGCUAUUAUUGCUAGUAUGUAAUAUAUUAAUAAAAUCUAUAUAAUUCAUUUGAUUUUUAUUCUUAAUAUCAUCUGAAACCAAGAUAGUUUUAUUUAAAAAAAAAGUGAUUUCAAUAAUUUUUUUGCUUCUUCCAAUUUCUUAUCUUUUUUACAACUUUGAAUAUUUUUUAAAUGUCACUAUUUUUUAUAAUUACCAUUAUAAUAAUUAAUAUUAUCAAUAAAACAUGAAGCAUCAUAUAUAUGAUUUACAUCAUUAAAUGCAAUCUUUGUUAAUGUUGUCUUUCUAAUUCCAUCCAUACCAAAAAGAUAUAAUGCUUAUGUUUUGUUUUUAUAUAAUUGUGUUAUUUCUAAUUAGUAUUUUUUUCUUUCCAACAACUUUUCUUCAUGUAGACUAACUUACAUAAAGAAUCAAAAUUAUAGAUUAGUAAAAAAAUAUUGCAUUCAUAAAAGAAUUAAAAAUAGAUCUAAUAUAUAAUAAUACACUCUGUAAUCUAAUCAUCAUAAAAAAAAAUAAUAAAAAUUAUUAACUUAAAAAAUAUUUUAUUUUUUAACUAACAAAAUAAAUAGUCUACACUUUAUAAGUAGCAAAUCAUUAUCUAUAAGUUAAAGAAGUACCUUUUUAUGGACAUUUCUUUUGGAUGUAUCUAAAAAUAAUUCAUUAAUACCUCAAUUUUUAUACAAAAUCUCUCUCUUUAUAAUAAUGAAUCUUUCAAAAAUAUCUAGAAAUAUUGGCCAUAGUGAAGGAUCUUUAUUCAAACAACCUUUGAUCAAUUAAGUCAAUCUUUUCUGAUUUGGAGGUAAUUUUGGUCUUUUGUUAUUUUUAGUUUUUUGUGAUAUUUUCUUUUUUGUUUUAAUACCAUCAAAUGGUUCUUUUUUGGUAAGAAUCUUAAAACAUACCAUUGCAAAGGAAUUAACAUUUGCUUCAAAAACAUAUUUUUGAAUAUGUAUCUCAAGAGAAAUAUAUUUAAUAGUUCCAUACAUAUUAUUCGUUUCAGUUGUUGGUUUUCUUCUAACCUUAAUAUUUAACAUUUCAAAAUCAAUCAAUUUAAAGACAUGUUAUUGAAUCAUCUUAAUAUCUUUUUUUCUACAAAUUUGAUAAAUAUUAGCAUUGUCUUUCAAAGCACAAAAAUAUUUAAUGAGGUUUGGAUGAGUAAGACCAUCUAAACUGCUUAUGUCUUUAAUAAAAAAAUUAUCAUAUGGAAUUUUCAUUAUUUUAGUUGCACUUAAAAGUUUCAACCAUUUAGGUUUAUAGACUUCUCCACAAGAUCCUCCAGUUAUGUGUUUUAUAAUUUGUAGACUUUUUAUAUUAAUUUAAGGUUCCAAAGCAUCUAAUUCUCUACCCUAACUAUAAUCAAAGCCCUCAAUUUUUUUCAAGAGUUGCUUUGCUAAUUCACAAGUGUAAAGAUUUUCUUUUAGAAGCUGCAUGAUUUUUUCAUCUUCCACACCAUGAAAUGUUGCAGCAUAAAAAACAGAUGAUGUAAUACUUUCAAAUUUGUCUUCAUAGUAUUUUGAAAGAAUAUCAAUUGCAACAUCACAACAGCACUUUAAAUCCAAAUGUAAUUCUCUAAAAGUUGCUUUGAUUUGUUCUUCCAUUAUGACAUCUUAACACCAAUUUUAUUUCUCCACAAUCUACUGCUCCUGGUUAAUGAUCAAUCAACACCGACAACACGCCAUCACCCAUCACCUUUCUCAACCUUCAGUUCCCUACGUCUGCAAAUCACAUCAUUGCGGAAUAACACAAUAUACCACAUCCCGUCCAACAUGUGUGCGUGCAAUGAGUUAUGGCCGAAGCAUUCGCAAGACGACAUAGCCAUGCACAGACAUAGUAAACAGUGACUUGCAGCAGGUGUGACUCUUUCACGUAGCCUGCGACAUAGGCAUCGAACGGCACAAAGGUCAUCACGGCCAAUCAGAAAACAAUAGCGAGAAAAUCUUCAAAAAUCAAACGGAUUGCCAUUCGGAGCAACCAAGAACAUAAAACCAAGAGAAAGACAGAGAGUGCAGAGCCAAGUGAUGCAACUGCUCACCGAAGUGCAGAAAGAUAUGAGGCUGAUUAAACCUUGAUACAAACCCUUACCGACACUUUCACUGGAAACGAAGCAACUGUCGAUUGAAUCCAUCAAAUCCUUACCGAUAACAGCACUAGAAACGAAACAACUGUUGAUCCAAUCCGUCAAACCCUUCCCGACGCAUGUACUGCAGGCCACGUUUUAGUUAAUCCGAACCGUCAGAGUGAACUCGCUGCGCUCACGGCUUGAUCCCACCACGUCCUCACAAGCCAACUCCGUGCUCCGAAUGGGUUGAGACAGCUAACUAUCUUAUGAGGGAACACACGGAGCAGAAUGAGAUCUCUACCCGCUACUCCAGCCGCAACACCUUUCGCUCGGAACAGAGCAGCAAUUCAACGUGUGGGCAUGCGUAGUAGUGAGAGAUGCGCAGGGGUUUCGGCGUGGGGAGGGAGAGGUAUGACACGAUUAACCAGUGUUUGGAACAAGUCACCCCAAUUAUCAGAAGGCGACAAGUUGUAGGAUCUUAUUCAAUGAAGGAACGAUACACCCACACCAACGUCCACUGCAUCCAUCCAGGUCAAGUAUAGACUACCUUACCUGAAGGAAGCUCGCAGGAGGGGACUGUGGGUAUAGCAGGGAGCCUGAGCAUUCACAUUCUCUCACGGGACGAGCGAAACAUUAUCUCACAGGAUCUUGUAUAAUUGACAAUGUGCCUGUUGUCAAUCGAUGUGACUUCUGUCACCAAGGCAUGAGAAACCUCGAACCGAUGAUUACUAGCUCAUGCGGACAGGCGCAUGUGUUAAGUCUAUGGCAGUGAUCACGUAUUUGUCUACUCAUGUUUAACAUCUGUUACGUCUGAGAUUAUGUUCCUGCUGAUAGAGCCGAGGCAAGCAAUGUGUACAUACGCGCAAAGUUUCACGACUUGGGUGUGCUCAUGUGGGGUACUCAUAGUGGGGGUACAAUUGUCCGCCCGCAUGCUAAAAUACUCCAUAAACGGGGUGCAGGCCAGUGUUCCCGCUAGCUCAGUUGACAUUGAGGGAAGCAGUUUUUUUUGGUGCAGGUAAUCAUAAAUGAAAUCAUUCUGAACUUGCUGGACAUUCCUCCUACUACAAUGUCUGUUUGGUGUGAAGACAGAUUGUUUAUGCAGUAUUUCUUCUUUUGAAUGGCACAUGUGAUGUAUCUUUCAGUAAAGACUAUGUUUUGCUACUUGAAACAUCUACUAAGCGUGUUGUGGUGUGUUAUCAGAGAUUUAUAUCAUUGCAAAUUCUUCGACCAUCUUGUGUUCCUUUAAAAGAAGGCGUUUUUGUUGUUUCACCACUGCACUGAGACAUCAAGAACAACUUGUCCUUUGGAUCCAGUACUAAUUUAGAGCUAGACAGUAGUAGUCGGCUGAAGAUAAUUUCUGGCAACGCCAACCCAUGCCUUGCUCGAGUACUUCAUCAUGUGAUUUUUUGUCUUUACUAGAUCAUUAGAGUUCUUUCCUUAAGAACCAAAGCAGGUGGAGGAAAUUCUGUAAAGCCUUACAUGAUUCCAAUACUUAAUGAUGGCUUCUUUUUUCUUCGUCCUCGUGCUCUACGUUGAUUAUCAGGAGGAGGUCUCAACUCGAUCACAAUUUGAUGUACCAGGACGAGCCUGCUGGUGGCAUUGACAGGCAUGUUUAGAUUCCGUAGAAGGGUCGCACUGAUACACUUUACUUAAAAAAUGUCUACUUGCUUGAAUCGUAUAUGCUAGAUGACGUGCACUAAAGCUGUGGAAGUGUGCACUCUUAUUACAUCUUCCAUAGCCACACUAUUAGAAUCAUAGGAUAAUUUUAUAAAUAAUAAUUCAAGUUAAUACACAGUAAACACUGUGUUUAUACAUGAUUGAUCCAGCGAGGGUGGUGCAACUGGAACGUCGCGAUGCCUCGCUGGAUGAGUUCCUGCCGUUGCUUCAAACGGUUACUUCUACAAUUAUGGUUCACAAACUAACUGUUCUAAUACACCCUCUAAACCAUAUCGUGGUGAGGCUGCGGUUGCUCAUCCAAGCAAACCUAGUAAUGGCAGGUGCUAGGCGAGCUUCGGUCCACACAACAAUUUCGUAAAUAAAUUUGUCAUUAUAUCAUGUGUGGAACAGUAUCGAAACAAGACUUUGUUGAGUGCGGAUAAUUGCCGAAUGAAGUGAUGUCGAAUGUCGAUAUGCUUUGUUCUGGAAUGGAAUUUCGUGGUGUCCACGAGGGCAAGAGCCGACUGAUUGUCGCAAUAGAUAACCAUAGGUGUAGUUAGGGUUUCAAACAGAGAGAGAUCAUGCAGUAGAUGUUGUAGCCACGCCAGCUCAGCAGUGGCCAUGGCCAUGUACUCCGCCUCUGUGCUGGAGAUCGCAAUAGAUCUUUAAUGAGAUGAGCUGUAGUUGACCACACAUUUCAACAAUAGUAAAGAGUAUCUGGAGGUAGAGUGCCAUUCAUCCAGGUCGCCAAUCCAAUUUGAGUCAAGAAUCCAUAUAAUGGUGCAGGAGAUUGCAAAUCUUGGCAAUACUCAAGAUAAUAGUCCACCAAGCCCUGUAAGUAAUGGAAGGCAUGCUUAUGGGCCUGCAAAUGGGUCAGGCCCAGAGCAUGCAUAUAUUAGUUCAACAUAGUGGUCACAAAAGAAAGGUUGGGCCACAUGCUAAUUGUGGCCUAAUUCAAGGACCCUACUGUGUUAGCAUAUGAGAAUUCAUUUGGUUAGCGAGGGGCAUCCUUGAUGAUUGGACAAUUCAAAGAAGAAAGCUUAAUUUCCAGGGCGAGAUGAGUGGUUACAGGCUUGGGCUCAAAAAAUCCAAUUUCUCAAAUUUUUGGGUGAUGUAAUGCAAUUGAGACAUGCAAAACAAACCUUGGAUGUAGUCACAAAUGAUUUUGAGAUUCAAGUCACAAAUGAUUUUAAAAGAGAUAGUUGGAAGAGAUCUAUGGAAUUCAAGCAAUGUAUAGAUGAUAAUAGAAAAGAGCUAGUAUCACCUAGUGCAAAAAGUAGAACAACUUGCAUACCAUAUGAAUCAUUAAUGAUUAACUCAUGACUAUCAAGAGCAUUCAAAGAAGAAGGGAUUUCAAUGCUAUUAAAAGGAUGCUUUGCAAAAAGAUUGCCAAGGUGGUGAGAAGGAAGCUUUGCUAAAGGAAUGUCAAGGUUGCCAAAAGGAAUUUGAGGAGGAUCAAAAGGAACAAUAAGUAGGAGAACAAAAACUUGGACUAAGAAAAAACAAGAUUGACCAUUGAGAUCAACCAUAGUGGACGGAGACAAUGGACAAAUAAGAAACAUUGGUCCAUAGUCAAUGUAUGUAGGCUUCAAAAUAGAAGAGCACAUAAGUUGAAAAAUAUACAAAUCUACUCAAAUACUUUUAUUAGCAAGAUUGAAAAGAUAUGUAUUAGAAUGAGAAUAAAUCACAUGCUCUUCCUGAAAUACAACAUCUUUUGAAAGAAGAAGCACUUCAUUGGUGAUUCUUUGAAUCUUAUAUCUUUUACUAAAGAAGGUAUAACCAAGCAAUAUACAUUCAUAAGUUUUAUUGUGAAGUUUAAUACAAAGCAGAUUCAAAAUCUUUAUAAAACAUUGACUUUCAAAGACUCAAAGGUAAGUAAUAUUCAAUUUUUGAUUAUACCAUAAUUUAAAAUAAAUUUUGUCAUUGGAGAUCUUUUUAAUAGAACAAUGAUUUUGAAGAUAUGUAGUUCAUAUAACAACUUUGUCUUAGUAUGGUUUUGAUAAUUUAGCUUCAUAGAGUAUAUAUCUACUAGCAUUGAGCAGAGUAUGGUUUUUUUCAUUUCCAAUGCCAUUUUAAUAAGGAAUAUAUGCCAUGAUAAGUUGAAGUUGACAUUGAAUACCAUGAAUUCCCAAAUAUUGAUCAAAAUUAGAAGAGAGGUAUUUUCUUCUUUGAUUGGAGCACAGAACUUUGAGUUUGUAACUUAUUUGAUUUUUUGCUCAUAUAUGAAAUAUUUUGAAUACAUUGUCGUAUUACGUGCUAUCUUGCUUGAGAACGCAUCGGGCAUCUGGCUGUGGAAGAUAAAACGAUGUUUUGUAAGUAUUCAAGUAGUCUAGUGGGUUUCAACCAUCUAAAUACAAACUAUUUCAGAUUUCAAUGUAAAAGCUUAAUCCCAAUACAAAGUGCUUAGAAACAUUAUUUUUAAUAACUUCAAGAUAUUAUAAGCACAAAUUCUUUUGUUAUUUGUUAGUUUUAUUUUAUUUUAUUUUUAUAAGUAUUAUUUUAUUUUAUUUUAUUUUAUUUUAUUAUUUAUUUAUUUAUUUAUUUAUUUAUUUAUUUAUUUAUUUAUUUAUUUAUUUAUUUAUUUAUUUAUUUAUUUAUUUAUUUAUUUAUUUAUUUAUUUAUUUUUAAUUUUUAAUUUUUAAACCCUAAACCUAGACUGCGAGCUUCGGCAAGCUGUAAUUCUCAAUUUGAUCGUCCGAUUGUUAUAAAACUUCUACCACUAGUGUCUUUGCAAGUCUUUUAAAUGCUCAAGAAGUUUCAAUCUAAUUUAACAGAUAGAUUGCAAGAAAACACUAUAAAUCCACACUGAUGUCUCUUGACCGUCGCCUAGAAAAUUGAUGACGAACUUUGAAUUGCAAUUUCUCCUUUUCCAACCGUUAAUUCUCAUUCAACUUUGUGUAUAGCUCCGCCAUUAAGUCCUCAACUUAACAAAUUAAAAUUCACCUUAUUUCAGUCGAUAAAUCUCCAGAUAUUAUAGAAAUCCUAAACAACCCCAAUAUGCCGACUUUUGAUAUCUCUUUACACUAAUGACCAAAUAUCCUCUAUCCACACUGUUAGAUUAAUACAAAUUUUCACAUGCUCUUGGCAUACUCAACCAUCUAGACAUUUCUAAAAUUUCAACCACAUGUCACGGACACAGAAUACAGACUUGAUAUCUACCAAGAAGUUCAAGAAGAACUGGCAAGAACUAGAUUAAUCAGAUGAAUACAAGAACAACACCAAAGAGGUGAGCUAGAGCUCCAAGAGAUGUGUUGUCGAGACUGAAGAACUCUUCAGCCUCGAUUCCAAUAUAUACUCCUAUUUAAGAAGCUUCUCAAGUAACUUCUACCAACUAGGAAGCUUCUAGAAGGUUCCAGACACUUGCUUCUAGAAGGUUCUAGAAACUUAUCUCUAGAAGGUUCUAAGGACUAUGUCCCCAACAUCUUCUACCAACUAAGAAGCUUCUAGAAGGUUCCAGAGACUUGCUUCUAGAAGGUUCUAGAAACUUGUCUCUAGAAGGUUUUAGAAGCUUGUCUCUAGAAGGUUCUAAGGACUAUGUCCCUAACAUCACCCCCUCCUUUAGCUUCGAGGUCUCUGAGAAGCAAUGUUGUUGUCAAUCAGUACCAAUGCAAGAAAAUGAAGAUCUGUCGCAUAACGUCUGCUAUGAACUCCAACUGUUGUUCAUGAGGUAAGUGAUUCAUCGGCCCUUGAAGCCAACGGUAGUGGCCCACUCCUUCAACUUCUGACCAAGCAUGAACUUCUGUGUCUUCAUUGUGAAAUUGUCCUGCAAAUAUGCCUUCUGGUUGACCAUCGUAAGCAGGCUCGGACUCAAAUACAAUCACCAGUGAUCGGUUACUUGGUAUCCUCCGUCGUCGUCAUAGUACAAGUGGUUCUUCAUCUCGGGGUCGCCUUCGUGAACUAGUUGGUUGAGAUAAUCUGACUGACAUAAUAUCUAUCUCUUGGCUAUCCAUAUCAGAAGACCAAACUAUGGCUACUGAAAAAAUUCUAUUUUAUCUUGGAGAAAAUAACUACAUCAACUACGAAUUUUGGUGGUGCUCUCUCUCUUUCUUAUAUUCUUGGGUGAGCAAGCUUCAAAAAGAAGCUAUUGUCGAACCGGCUUAGGUUUAUGAGGAUGUUGUUGAUGAAACUCCUGUACCUUUUGCGGCGCAUUGGUGAGAUUUUCAGCUGGCUCCCACGUUCGCUCAUUAAUGUCGUAGCCGCACCAAUGAACAAGAUACUCCAACUUGCCCCACCUUCGCCGAGAAUCCAGCACCUUUUCAACCUCGUAUUCCUCGUGGUUCUUGAUCUCAAUACUAGGUGGCAAAUAUUGCACUCUUCCAAGAAAAGAUGACUCUCGAUAAGGCUCCAACAAAGAAACAUGAAAGACUGGAUGUACCUUCAUAGAAGCCGGUAAUUCCAAACAAUACACCACUGGAUUGAUUUGCUUUUGGAUGAUAAAUGGUCCCAAUCUUCGAUAGUCCAACUUAUCACAUGGUCACUUGGUCUUGAUAUUCCGUCGAAGAAGCCAUGCUUUAUCUCCAAUUUUGAAAGUAGGUGCUUGAUUCCGAAAUCUAUCUGCAGACGCCUUGUAGGAUUCUUGAGCGGAUUGUAAUUGAAGCUUCAACGUAUUUUGAAGCUUUGAUAGUUGUUUCGCAAAUCUUUCAGCUGCUAGAUUGUUAUUUGUUGAUGGACUCAAUAAAUCAUGCUUUGGAUGAUACCCAUAGUUGGAAAAGAAUGGUGUGUAUUGAGUCGAUGCAUGGAGGGUGUUAUUAUAUGCAAACUCGGCUAGUGGCAGAUAUGUGGUCCAAUCGUCUUGUUGAUAGUUGAUGUUGCAUCGUAAGUAUUGUUCCAAGACUUGGUUCACUCGUUCCGUUUGAUCGUCAGUUUGAGGAUGAAAAGUCGAAGAAAGCUUGAUAUCCACCUUCAGUAUCUCAAAGAGAGAUCUCCAAAACUUUGAUACGAACUGGGUUCCUCGAUCUGAUAUGAUAUCAUCUGGUAGUCCAUGAUAUCGAUACACAUUAUCGAGAAAGAGCCUUGCUGUGACUUCACUGGACGAUGUCUUCUUGUAAGGCACAAAGUGUGCCAUUUUUGUAAGCCGAUCUACCACGACAAAGAUGCUGUCAAAUGAGUUCGAUGAUGGCAGGUCCGUGAUGAAGUCCAUGGAAAUUGAAGACCAUGGUCGACGUGGAAUCGGCAAUGGCUGUAGGAGUCCAUAAGGGCGAUGCCAAGGAUUCUUGGAUCUUGAACAGAUGUCGCUGGAGAGGACAAAAUCUUUCACAUCCUUCCACAUUUAGGGCCACCAAAAAUCUCGAGAAAUAAGCUCCAAGGUCUUAUUGAAUCCAAAAUGUCCUGCAGCUGGAAAAUCGUGGCGAGAUUGAAGAACUCGGAGUCGUGCUGGUCCUUUUGGGAUAUAUAACCGCUCUUCAAAAUAUAAAAGAUCUCCCUCCACCUUGAACUUGUCGUCAUUGGCACGCUGCUUAAUAUCAAUGGCUAUUGAAUCUUCAAUGGUUACGACACGUACCUGAUUUAGGAAGUCAGCAUCAAUUGGCAUAAUAGUAGCGCAAAGCUGAAAUUGCUCUGGCUUCAAUAAUGUCAUACAUUGUUGAUCAAAUGCUGCUUCUCCAGCCUUUGGUACAAGAUAUGAUCUCCUCGAUAAGGCAUCAGAUAGUCCUUUCUACUUUCCAGGUCGAUAAGUGAUAAUAAAAUCGAACCUAGAUAGCAACAUACUCCAUCGAGCUUGACGUCGAUUUAAAACUCGAGCCGACAUGAAAUACUCCAAAUUCUUGUAAUCUAUAUAUACGGUCACUAGAUGUGUAGCUCUUUCAAGAAAGUGACGCCAUUCUUGGAAAGAAUCCACUAUAGCUAGAAGUUCCUUAUCGUGGAUCUCAUAAUUGAUUUUAGCAGCAGAGAACUUUCAAGAAUAGAAUGCAACCAGAUGGAGCUUCUUUUCUUCUCCCAUUUGUGAAAGUACAACUCCCAAGGCAAAAUCCAAAGCAUCAGUUUCUAAAUAGAUGGCCUUUGUAAAGUCUGGAUGUACCAAGAUUGGAGCCAUAGUAAAUGCGGUCUUCAAGUUUUGAAAUGCCUUCUCUGUUAGAGGUCCCCAUUCCAGCUUAUCCUUGCAUGUAAACCGAGUGAGAGGAGCAGCAACUUGAGAGUAAUUCUUGAUAAAGAUCCGAUAGAAGUUGGCAAAACGAAGAAAGCAUUGUACGUCUUUAACCGUCUUCGGAACCUCCUCGGACACGAUUGCUUCCACCUUCUUGGGGUCCAUCUUCAAGCCUUCCGUAGUUGCAAUGAACUCCAAAAAUUCCAUCUCUAUUUGGUGAAACAAACACUUUUCUAACUUGGCAUAUAGUCCUCACUCGCGUAGUUUCUCCAAUACCAAACGAACGUAUUUUUCAUGCUCUUCUUCAUUUUUGGAGAAUAUCAAAAUAUCAUCCAAAUAGAUGACAACAAAAUCGUCAAGGUACUCUCAAAAAAUGUCAUUCAUCAUAUGUUGAAAGACCUCUGGAGCAUUGGUAAGACCAAAGGGCAUGACAUUAUAUUCAAAAUGGCCAUACCUUGUACGGAACGUUGUCUUCCAUUCAUCUCCUUCCUUGAUUCGUACGAGGUUGUAAGCUUCCCUUAGAUCAAUUUUUGUAAAGAUUCUUGCACAUCCAAGGUGUUCUAAGAGACCAGAAAUCAAGGGUAACGGGUAACGAUUCUUCUUUGUUACCUUGUUGAAGCCUCGAUAGUCCACGCACAUCCGCAACGAGCCAUCUUUCUUCUUCACAAAUAAGAUAGAUGCUCCAGCUGACGAUUUUGAAUGACGGAUGAAGUUCUUGGCUAGAUUCUUGUCGAUGUACUUUCGCAACUCCGCCAACUCCAUCUGUGAUAGAUUGUAGAUUGGGCCAAAAGGCGGUUGUGCUCCUUCCUGUAAGUCUAUGGCGCAAUCAUAUGGUCUAUGUUCCGGUAGCAUGUCGGCAUUUUUCUUUUGAAACACGUCUUUAAAAUCCUUAUAUUGCUCCGAUAUACUUGCUGUCGAGAUCUUCUCCCCGGUAGUUGGAGCCGCAUAAAUGACAAACGGUGUGCCUCCCUUGGACAAUCUUAUAAAUGCUCUUGCUCCAAUAAAUAAGGAUUUCUCUAUUCGGGGUUUUCUACUAGGCUUGCUCUUGGGUGGUUUUGUGGGAAAGGUCAUCUUUCGCAACUUCCAAUCUAUGGAUGGGUUAUGCUUUUCCAACCAGGAAAGACCAAGACUAACAGAAUUUGAUGGGAUUCUAAUAAUAUUGAAAAUAAUAUGACUACUAUGGUCCUUAAACGUCACUUCUAUAGGUUCUGAUUCAUGGAUGAGACUACCUGACAAUAAAGGUCGUCCAUCUAUGACCUCGACGUAAACAGGUUUGGAUUUUUGUACUAAAGGGAUCUUAUGACGCUUUGUAAAUUCUUCGUCUAAGAAACAAGCAGAUGCUCCUGAAUCUAAUAAUGCUAAGGUUCUCAGUUUUUGAGGGCCAAUAAACAAAGGGAUUGUAAAACAAAGGGCAGGUUGAGCGAAAAGAAAGGAACCUGGUUGUUGUUGCGAUAUUUCACUGUCCAACCGCACGGUUCCUAUUGUGGCUGGGCAUCCUCGUUUUCCUGAAUAAACGUGCCCCUAGUCUUGAUAAUACGUCGAUUUUGCUUCUUGGGGCAGUUUCCAACUUUGUGGCCUUCUUCACCGCAAUACAAGCAUAGACCUUCCUCCAUACGCCGCUUUUUUUCUUCCAGGGUAAGAGAUUUGACAUGUAUCGCAUCAAUUUGCAUGUCUUCUACCUUUGAAUGUGAAUUCACGCUCCUUGCCGACAUAGUUGGGGUGUGGCGAACCGUAUGUUGUCUUGAACGUUGGUCUUGGCGACGUUGGAAUAGGCGGUUAUCGCACUUCACAGCUUGGCUAAUAGCUUCGUUGAGCGUUUGCGGAUCAGGAAGAGUUAACAGCAAAUCCUUCACAUCGUCCCUUAAAUCCCAAUAGAAUUGACUCAUCAACGCUUCUUCGUCCCAAUUGAUGUCGCAUGCUAAUUGCCUGAAGUCCGAUGCAUAGACUGAUGUAGAACGCAUCCCUUGUCGUAGUGAUCGGAUCUUUGUUGUAGCCCAUCGAACCUUGUCGUGUUCACCAAAUGCUUCCGCAAACGCCUCCAAAAAGGUUUCAAAGUUGUUUAAUAUGGACGAUCGUUUCUCAAACAAAGGAGCAAACCAUGAUAGAGCUUGUCCUAUAAGUAAGGUUCCAACAAGCCCAACACGUGACUCCUCCGUUGGAUAGCGUUCGGGUUGUAAAACUGUUAUCAACCUGAUUUGGUUGACGAAUCCUCGAAAUUUGGAACGUGUACCAUCGAACUUGUCCAGAAGGCUAACUCGGGGUUCCUUAUGUUGUAGAAUCAGUGGUGCUUGUCGAACUUGAGGCAAAGUUGCUUCUCCAAGUGUAGAAGUUUAAGGCUGGUGCAACCUAGAUUGUGCCAUCCCAGAUGCUCCAUCAUUAUGAAGUCUUGCCACGACUCCUUCAAUCUUUGCAGUUCUUUGCGAUAACGUAGCGAGGGCAUUCAUGAUAGCAUCUAACUUGGACUUUGAACUUUUCGUCAUACUAAUGUCUUAGCCCCCGACCAUUCUAAGAGAAGGACAGAAAUGACUCUACAAGAAGACAGUAUUGGUUUAGAGGAGGGUACUCCGCAACCUCUAAAAUGCCUUAAGAGCUUCAAGAAAAGGGGUAAUCCACUCUCUCCAAGAAGAAUAAGACUCCAAUAUUGCAACAAAAGAAGUAUUAAUUUAGAGGAGGGUAAUCCGCAACCUCUAAAGUGCUAGUACACUUCCAAGCAGAGGGAUAAUCCACACUCUAACAAAGAAGAAACUAGCUCUGAUAUCUGAGGUGAGUGAAGUCUCGACAAAUUGUCACGGACACAGAAUACAAACUUGAUAUCUACCAAGAAGUUCAAGAAGAACUGGCAAGAACUAGAUUAAUCAGAUGAAUAGAAGAACAACACCAGAGAGGUGAGCUAGAGCUCCAAGAGAUGUGUUGUCGAGACUGAAGAACUCUUCAGCCUCGAUCUCAAUAUAUACUCCUAUUUAGGAAGCUUCUAGAAGGUUCCAGAGACUUGCUUCUAGAAGGUUCUAGAAACUUGUCUCUAGAAGGUUCUAGAAACUUGUCUCUAGAAGGUUCUAAGGACUAUGUCCCUAACACCACAGAUGUUUCUCUAAUUUUACAAAAUAGUUAAGAGUACUAGCCUUAACUUUAUUGAAAAAAAAUCCAAAUCACCAAUACAAACACUAACUUUGAACAACGAUUGCAAAGUCUUUCCAAAUCCUAUGAAAACCAAGUCUCUUAUUUUUUGAAGGAGCUUGAAGCUAACUCUUCAACCUCAAAAUCCCGAUCUCUUAAUGCCCUCUUCUUUUUCCUCUAUUUUCCUUUAAUUCCAUGAGGUCCUCUAUUCUUCCGCCCUGGACUCGGAAUUGGAACAACAGACUGCGCUUCUAUGGAAUUCCCUCCUCUAAGAAGAUCUUCCCACAAAAAAGACGUUUCUCCCAAACGGCAUAGAAAACAGAAUAGCUUGAAAUGGAACUGAAGCCUCCGUAAUCGGGAUCUCAUUGGGUUGCCCAACCGAAUCAGGUCUCAUACUAGGUAAGAGGCCCAUAACAGGACUUUGAUUGGAUGUCCUUGUAAUUGGGUCAAAUUGGCCCUUCGCAUUAGGCUCACCCAAAUAUUGAAUUAGUCCUUUCUCAUUUUCUCAACUCUUAGUAAAAAUGGCUUAGACACAUUCCACCUGAUUCACUAGAGUAUCUUGAAGACCUCGAUUUAUCUCCUCAAUUUUUCCAAGGCUUUGGAUCUAUUGAUCCUGAUUAUUGAAAUUGAACGGAGCAUUAUAUUGCUGAUAAGUAUACCUCGACUAUUUGCAAUUUCCACACAUUGGCAUAUAAUCGUCACUGGCUCUGGGAUUGGGAUAUUCAAUAGCAUAAUGAUCAAUAUGUUUGUAACAAAAACAACGAAGUGGUCUUCUUGCACCUUCCAUCAGGCAUAUUGGGUGUCUCCACCGAUAUAUAUCUACUAGGUUUGUUCCAUGUAGGGUUAGAAAAUGAUCCUAGUUGCCCCACUGGUACGAAGGGUACUUGGUUUGAUGAUGCUGGUGGAGCAUUUUGCUGAUGUCACGUACGGUGAUAUAGCUUGUAAUAGAGUGACAUUAACUGGCCCCUGAAUAUUGGCACAGGAAUUGGCCACUGUUUCUAACAUCCAAGAUGAUUAAAUAUUAAUAAAAUCUUUUUCAUUUAUAUUUUCACCAUAUAAUUGUGUUAUAACACAACAAUGUGAAAGUAUUUACUCUUGUAAUUAAGAAGUUAGAGCAUGGUAUAAAAUAAAAAAAAUCAUCAAUAAAUGUGACAUAAUAUUCAAACUUGGAGAAAGUGGGUGAGAUGAUACGGCCACUUAAAUCUGAAUGAAUUAAUUGAAGAAGUUGAGUAGCUCAAUUUGUAGUCACUUCUAGGAAUUUUAUCACAGUUUGCUUUCCAUGAAGACAUAUUGGAUAUAAGUAUUGAAGAACUUACUUAAUAGAUAAGUUCAUAAUAGACUUAUUAGUGAUAACUUAUUGUAAACUUUUGGUACUAAUAUGCUUCAACUUGCGAUCCUACAAAUGAAAAGAAUUUUUUUGAAAUAGUAUAUAAUUAUAGUUUGGAAGAGUAUUAAUUGAAUAGGUAUAUACUACAAAAGAAAAUUGCUUGUGAGGAGUGUCUUUUAAGUGCUAAUAUGGUAGAAACUCCAUUUUUUGUUGUCAUGAAGUAGAACUAGGACCACCAUGAGUUGAAAAAAAGAAGUUGGGAGUCGAGUUGAGGGCAAGUUCUAUGAGCUUGCACCACCAAGUUUUAAUAGGAUACAAUAUUAGGUCAAUGCUCUAAAGAAGAUCAGAGGACUUGAGGCCAAAUUCAUUGUUCUAAGUAGACUCAUAUAAACAAGAGUGUUGUAAAAGUAUAUAUGGAAGUAAAGUUAUUCACGCUAGAAGCAAGGAUGGAUUCUUUUGACUAAUGGAAAUUGCAAUAAUAUAAAAGUUAAUAAUUGAGUAGUAAUCAAUAGUCAAGUUGUAGUCUAUUUUGUUGUUAUGUAAUAUUAUAUCGCCAAGGAUGUACAAAUGAUUUUGAAGUAGGCAUAAGGCUAUGGUAGAAUUAUCUUCAAUAAGAAGUCUACACAUACAAUUUUUUUUAUUGAUAUGCCACUUCUUCUUACAUUAUGAUCAGUGAUAAAAAAUAAAUUCUUAUGUAGAUUAGAGAUGCAUAAUAUAUUAAUGAUCUAAAUGGUAUCUCUAUUGAGUAUAGAAAUAUUCAUAUUGCCUUAGCUAUAAAUUAAAAGAGUAUUAGCAUUGCCAAUGUGCACUCAAUUUUUUUUUUGGGAUAAAGGUUCAAAAUUAAUAAAUUGGCUUUUAUUGUGAGCCAAGUAAUGAGUUGCAUACGUAUCAAUAAAAUAUAUAAGAUCUUUUCUUGCACCCAAUUUGGACAAUUUUUUGGAACAAUAUGCUUGUAUAAGAUAAAUAUAAGCAUAAAAGAAUGGAUGUAUUUUUUUGAUGUUUUUUAUUUUUAUUUUUAUUUUUGAUUUUCAUGAGUUGUUAUUGCUGUGUUGGUUGAUGGCUUAUACUUAUUGGUUUUUAUAAAAAUUAAUCUCCAAUAUCCCAUUUUCUAACAAUGUAGACAUGGCGUUGUCCAUUUUGACUUAUUAAUUAAAUACCAACCAAUAACAAUUCUAAGAUCCUCUUAGAGUUGAUUGCAAGUGUCUACUAGUCCAAAUCAAGAAGGAAAGAACCUACUAACAUAGCAAAGAAUAAUAUUGCAUACAUCAAUAUAAGCAAUACUAUUAUUUACAAAGAUUAAAAAUAAAAUAAAAUAAAAAGUCAAUUAAAAAUAAAUGAAUUUAAACAAGACAUCACAACUUCAACUUGGAUAUUCAAGCUUGUGAUCAAUGAAGAAAGACGACCUAAAAACACCAACCUCAUUGACAACAACACUAUCAAUUUGGAAGAUCCCUUUGACAUUCAUCAAAAUGGUAAUAAACUAAAACGUAGCAAUAUACCAAGUUCCAAUAAUCAGAUGUGGCUAUUGCAUAAAAGAGAAGGAGAACUAUACAAAGUUAUUUGACUCUAAUGGUAGAAUUUGAUUGAUUAAUUGAGUAAUUUAAGAAGAGUAUAGAGUGAUUUAAUUAAAAAUUAAUUAGAAAUAAUUGAAUUUGAAUGAAUUUUUUAAAAUUGAAUAAAAAUUAUUUAGAUUAAUUUUUAUACUUGGAUGAAUUAUUAUAUUUAGAUGAAUAUUCAUUCAAUGAUGAGUUCAUAUUGAUGAAUGAAUAUUAAUUCAAAAAAAUAAAAAAUAAAAAUAAAUUAAAUUAAAAAAUAUCAUUAUGAAAAGAAAAUUUUGGGCAUGCUUCUUAUGAAUGACUUAUCAUAAUAGGUAUGAUUUAAUGGUAGAAGUUGAUUGAUUAAUUGAGUGAUUUAAGAAGAAUAUAUAUUGAUUUAAUUAGAAAUUAAAUAGAAGUUAUAACUUAUGAAAAUUAUAUAAUUAAUUUAUUUAUUAUAAAUUUAAAAAAUUAUUCAAGUAAUGGAGGUUAUUUGUCUUAUACUUGGGAAAAUUAAGGAGAUUAAGGGUGAAUUACUCACAAUUUAAAUAAAAACUAAUUUCUUUUAGGAUUUCUACAAUUAAUUCAUUAGUAGUGAACUAAAAUAAACUUUCAACUAGUUGAGAUUUAUUAUAACUCAAAGGUAAUAAUGUCACUUGAAGAAUAGAUAUUUUUAAGUGCAAGCCAAGAUUUAUUAGCCAUUUUGCAUGCUCUAACAUGAAAAAUUAUCGAAUUAUCUAUAAAAUUCUAUAUGACAUUUAAUGUACCAUGAUUUUGGUUUUUCCACGUGGUAAUUAUAACUUAAUUAUUUGGUGAUGUCAACAUUUUCAUAUUUUCUUCUAGCAUUGGUGUUGACUCUUUGUCUUUGCUAGAUACUAACUUCCAUAAUUCUUCAAUUUUGAAUUUCAUUUGAAUUUUCUUUUUUCAAAUUGUAUACGAAGAGCUAUCAAAUUUUGGUAAUGUUUUAGUUAAAAGACUAUUUUUAGUUAUUUUGAAGAAAAGAUAAGAUUAUUGGUGCUCCAAUUUCUAUGACAAAUUUCUUCUUCAAAGUUUUUUUUUUCUUGUGAUUAUUUAAUAUUUUUUUAGAAUUUUUUAUAUCAAAAACUAAUUCACAAAAUUAUACUAUGAUAUCUUAUUAGAAUCAUAAAAUAAAUUUAUAAAGAAUAAUUUAAGUUAAUGUACCAUAAACAUUAUAAUUAUACAUGAUUGAUCUAGUAAGGGUGAUAAGACUGGAACAUCUCAAUUCCUCACUAGAUGAAUUCUUACCAUUGCUUUAAAUGGUUAUUGUUACAAUUAUGGUUAAUGAACUAAUUUUUCUAUUACACACAACAUUGGAGGUAAAUGUGUCUUUGUGUCCAAUUGAAGUGUAUCUCUAUAUGUGAAAUUUUUUAUUUAUUGUUUCUACUUUCAUAAUAAUUUUGCAUAUUACAAUUGUUUUAUUGUUUAUAUUUCAAUCUAAGAACAUGUACUCUAAUAUAUUAAUGUGGUUGUUGUCACUCAAUGUUCUUGAGUAGAAUUUUAUCUUAACUAAUUUCAUAAAAUUGUCUUAAUUAAAGUAUUUAAAUAUCAUACUUUUAUUAAUUAUAAUUUUUUGGUUUAUAAAAUAUUGAAGAACAAAUGAAGAAACUGAUGGUGGUGAAUCUUUUAAGGCAUAAGUGGUGGCCAUUUGGAUUCAAGAGCUGUGGGAGAUUGAACAUGUUUGCUGAUUUGGGGCAUGACCUCCGAGUUGGAUCUGAAGUUGAUAUAGUACAAUGAUAGAAAAUAAGAUCCUAAUAAAGAUUCUCUUAGAUGUGGCAUUGGUCAAUGAAGUAGAAGAUCUAAUGUAGAUGUUCUUGUAAUCAGCGAUGAGUUAUUGCAAUGAAUAGAGUUACUUAAUCAUUAUUUGUAAACUAUAAUAGAAUUGAAUCAUAUUCCAUUACAUCUUUUUUAGGAGUCACAACCAAGUCAACUUUCUCAAAGGAUAUAAUUUGUAACCUUUAAGGAUUAUUUUUAAUAAAAAAUUAUAAACAAAGAAAUUUUACCACUCUUAUAAUUCUUAUAUGGUAUUAGAGCAACAAAAUUGAAUACAAGUUUAAUAAAAAUAGAUAACUAAAAAUAUAAGAAAGCUCAUAAGAAAAAGGAUUGCACUUAAGAUAUUUUGUACAAAAAUUAGAGCACUAAUAUAUCCUCUCUUAAGAUUAUGGCUUCUAAUAGCCUCACCACCAAACAAUGGCCAAAAUUCAAUGACACUUGGUAUAUCAAUGGAAGCAAAAGAUAUAAAUGAAGUUCAAAAUAGAAAAAAUAUAAAAGUUGGUUUUUAAAAACAAAAGAGUACCAAUACCUAUCUAAGAAGCAAAUAUAGUAAUACCAUCAAAUCAAUUAGAAAUUUAAGCAUGGAAAAAAAAGAAUCAUGCUACACUUGCAGCCAUUUAAGAUUGUGUUAAUAACUCCAUAUUUUUUUAUAUUGGCACAUUAAAAAUAUCUAAUAUAAUAUAGCUUGUAUUAAAAAAUACAUAUUUUACUAGUAAAGUUUGUACACAAGCUUACUUAUAAGAAAAAUAUAUAAUACAAAAAAUGAAGGUUGAUAAAUAGAGAAUACUCCCAACUUUAAUUGUGAUUCUUUUUUACAAAGAAACUACAAUGAAGAGCUUUUCUUUCAACACUCAAGUCUUCUUUGUUAGGUGUAAGAUUAAAAAUAAGUAGCAACCUUGAUUAUCAUCAAAUCAACCUUCAAAAGACCACAAAUAUUCAAAAUAAAAAUCAUGACAAAAUAUAAUUCAUUAAUUUUUAAGCUUUAUCAUUUGAUAAAAAUAAAGUGUAUAUUGGUAAUAAUAUAAUAUUUUUUAUAUAUGGAAAAAGAAAAGUCAACGUAUGCAUGAUUAAUGGCCACACUAUUUGUCAUACUAGUAUAUUAUAUCUAUCAAAUUUGUAAAAAAAAUAUUUUUAAUGCAAGAACAUGAUGAUAUUGGAGGUGGCAUACUCAUUAAAAUUUACCAAUGUUACAUUCUUGACAUAGAUAAUAUAACCAUGUCACAAUGUCCACUCAUUGAUAAUCUAUAUUUACAUGGUACUACUAUUUUACUUACAUAUUCAGCUUUAGCUAAUUUAUUUGUAAAAAAUAAAAAGCAUCUCAUUAUAAUCAUUCCACCUCUAGCCAUCAAUCAUGCAAGCUCCAUUGGAUUAGUUUGGCUGAACACUACUUUCUAUUGUGUUCUUGAAUUGGUCUGGUCUUUUGAUCCAAAAGCUUCCAAUAGCCAAAAGUAUCUACAUCCUUGUUCAGCCUAUACUUGUUCCAAUUCUGAAUUAGGCUCAUUAUUAUGUCCCUGCUAUUCAACUCUUGUCAAUUCUAAUAGGGGACAUUGCAUGCUUCCUAAGCCUAAUUCUAUACAUCAAUGCUCCAAUGACAUUAGUUGUUGUCAACAUCCUCUAUGAAUGGUCAUUGUUAAUCCUACAACAACAUGCUGCAGCAUUUUUAGAAGCAGCCAAUAAUCCAUUCUACUAGUCCAAGUCAACUCUACUCUAGCCGAUUCAGAUAUCACCCAAAAAUGUACCAAACUCCCAAGGUACACCUUCUAUUUCAAAUGUUGUCUUUUUAAGUGUAUCUUUGACUUUGGAUCUUCAACUCAAAAAAAAUAAUCUCGUGGCUUCCAACAUUCUCAUACAUCCUAUAUUGGAAAAUUCAGUUCAAGCUUACUUUAGGAUUUCUAGACAAUUGUGGCAUUGCAGAUUAGAUCAUAUAUGUGCCAAUUACCUUCAUAAUAUUGUUUGAUUUGGUAUAAGUCACCAAAUCACCUCACAAAUUGUAUUAGAAUAAAAACAAUACAAUUAGAAUGUCAAGUACAAUUAUUAAAAAAGAUUAGGAGAAAAGAUGCUAAGUAUAAGAAAAGUUGUAUUAGUAGAAAAAAUAUUGCUAAUAUAGAAGAUCUAAUAGAAAUUUACAUGUAGAAGCAUCUUACAAGCAUCAAAUAGGUAUUUUUUAAUAUUUUAGAAACAUCUAAAAAAGAUCAAGAAUAUUCAAAAUUCUAAUGUUAUAAGGUAUAGAGAAGGUCCAUAUAUGAAUCAAAGACGAUCCAAAUACAAUCCACUUUGGAUGUAUAUAGCCUAGAUACGGUGGUGGAUUUUGUAUGGAUAUGGAUACGAAUAUAGCAUAUUACAGUAUUAAUAUGGUAUUGUUGCAGUACUGGAUAUAGUAUACAGAAUAUAAAACACAGAGUACAAUAUGGUACACAAUAGAAUAUAUAAUAGAAUAUGUGGUAGAGCACAAGGUAUAGAAGCAACUACGUAUAAAUAUUGUUGAAAUACGGCGAAGUAUGAUUGAUGUAUUGUAUCGAGUACGGGUGGUUCUGUAUCGGAUGGCGGUCAUGUAUUGGUGGCCGGGUAACAGAUGGCCCCUCAAUUGGAUCCCUCUCCUAAUUUUCUUUUUGUGUUCCGGUGUAUGGCAGAGCCCCGACAAGUGUGGGUUGCGGCUAAGCAGUUUCUCUUUUGUUCUAUUUUUAUCCGUAUUGUAGCUGCAGUGGGCUGCGGUAGAGAACACGGUAGGUUGUACUCGUUAUUCGGUUGAAGGUGGCUGCUGGAGCGGACGAGCAGUGGUGUCUCUUGCCAAGUUUGGCACAGUGACGUGUGUAGUGGAUGAACCUCUUAUGUUCUGGUAUGCUCAAGUUCUGGUAUGCGGUUUAUUUUGUCUUCAUCGGAUUCUUGCAGCAAGUGUAUACAAGGCUGGAGCCGCAAUCUUCUUCGCUUACUAAGUUGAUUGUUGGCAGUGAUCGUUGGCGGCGGAGCGAGCUGCGGUGGCCUUGUCAAUGGCUUCUCCCGAUUUAAUUUUCUUCUCCUCGGUGGUCUUGCAGAGCUCCGCAAUCCCUAGGCAGUGCAGCUAGAGCCAUUGCAGUCGUGGAGCUACUCGCAUUUGAGUAGCGAUGCUGGUUUAGUGUAUGACGUGGUAGUCUGGAUUUUUUCUCUUUGUGUUUUCUCGAUCCAUUGCCAAUUUUUGAUGGAAUCAAGUUCUAGAGCGGCAUUCGCUAUUGCUACUUCCUUGGGGCUCUUUCCUUCAAGUUAUUACCCCGCUCUGUUCCUGCCAUAGAAUAAUUGAGAGUUGGUCGAUCACAGCAUUGUUGUUUCUCCUUUGCUGGCAGGAUUGUGGUGGAAGUUGAAGCAACAUUCCUUGGUUCGACAAAAUUUUCCUUUCGUAUGUGGUUUUAUCAUUAAGCUUGCUUGCUCUACCGUUGUAUUAUCCAUGUUGUUUUUUUCCACAUCACCACUAUCGGAUCGUGAAGCGGCGUCGUUAGUAACAAUGUCAAAUGUUUGGUUACGAUUGGUUAUUCCCUUGCUGGUUUUUUUUGCUAUGAGUGCGGCCUUGCAAUAAGAUAUACGAUAGCUAUUGCUGCCUUCGACGGUCGGCGAUUGAUUUCUCCCUUGUUGGUUGGAGCAAUGGUGUCGUAAUUCCCUUCUGCAUUGCAGCUUCUGAUCCUUAGAUUGUUGGUCGUCUUGUUGUGUUAGCACCUUUGCAUAAUUGAGCAAUUGAUCCAUGCAAGCUCCUUUGCAAUGCAUUUUCUUGUGUUCGGCAGCCUUGAUGAGGAUUCAGAAUUGGAAAAAUUCUUGCGAAGGACCAUUUGAGUUGGAUUAUUGAAGAACCACAUCAACUCAUAGGAAAGUUAGCUACCAUAACUUAUAGGAGCCAUUAAAAUUAGGGUUCUUAGUGAAGAUUGGAAUCAAAAUUAGGUAGGCAGGAGUAAGGAAUCGAGCCACCAAUUCAGCCACUAUUACUUCAGCACCGUCACAAAAGUCCACGGUGAUGCUUAGGCAUCCUCCUAGGGCCUUCGUCAUCAAAGUUUGACAGCAAGGGGGUUCAGCAGGCAAUCAGAGAGGAGUUCGAAGUACUCCAAAAAGAAAAUUGUACCUCUCACGUUUUGAAUUACAAAUUCCGAUUGAAUCUA